GACUGCAGGAAGUGACGUUUCUGUUGUUGGCUGAAGACUUGAGUGGUUGAGAGUCAUGGGAUUUCAAGUAUUAAGAAUUAAGUUUUAUGGCAUUCACUGGGAAUCUCUUCUCCUUGAAGAAAUUUGGUAGCUGAAGCCAGACGGGCCUUAACUUGGACGCUUUCUGUAAAAUGACAAGCCAAUCCUGUUGAGGAGUUUGGGAUUGUA